CCUCUGCAGGUGCGCAGGUGUCCUCUGCAGGUGCCCAGGUGUCCUCUGCAGGUGCCCAGGUGUCCUCUGCAGGUACGCAGGUGUCCUCCGCAGGUGCGCAGGUGUCCUCCGCAGGUGCACAGGUGUCCUCUGCAGGUGCGCAGGUGUCCUCUGCAGGCCCCGCCCCUCCCCGCCGCUGAAAUGUUUACAUGAGUUCAUAGAUUUGUUUUUUGCAGCGAUUCGCCGGCCCAUUAAAAAAGAAUAAGCGCUUAUGACAUAUUCAAAGAGGGCAUGUCUGGAGUACAAAGUCUAGGGGAGGCUAUGAUUCAUUAAUGGAGCCAUGAAUACAUAACCCUCUGUUGUACGAUAUCAUACUCACUGUUGAAUUCAUGGGGACAUUCACAUAUUUUUCCUGUGCAAAGAUUCGAGACACCAUUACAAAGGGUAUAUGAGCGAGAUUGAGGAGCUUUCUAAACAAUUCAUAAGGCCACAGCGGAGCUUUCACAGCUACGCCGGGCUUCAAGUGUUGAGAUUCUGUUUCACGUUCAUGUUUUACUUUUAAUAAUUAAGACGCCCAUGAAAAGGAUUUUAUGGGUGAACGAUAAACAAGCGCUAACACAACUCUUAAUUCAUCGUUUGCCCUUCGUGUUAUUUAUUACCAAUCAUUACUCAUUUGAGGAAAGGUACCUGCAGGCUCAUGUUCACGCGUUCAUUCUGCAGCCCGCCGAGUCGUUCCCGCCGCAACGUCCACACGGAGGACUUUGUUGUUGUAGCACAAGAACUCCUCCAUCCAUAAAUCAUCACAUUAGUUAAGUGACCUUUUGCAAAACUGGCAACCUGAGAGGAGAAACCUGACGAACAGCAUUUAAAGUUGAUGAAAUCAAUGGAGUGAAUUUACAUUUCGUCCUUGAUAUGUUUGUAGUAUAAACCGAUUUGUCAAAUGUAACCUGGGUUGAUUUAUUAUGUUUCCGUCACAUUACGUAUUCAUUUAACACAACUCAUCAGUUUCACAUGAUUUCGUACUGGAAAAUAAUUUUUUAACACACGUAAAUAUCUGCAGUCUUUUCAAAAUAAAGAUUGUCGUGUGUUUGAGUUCAUUGUGUCGUGGACUUGGAGGGUUCAUGGGGUUAAUGGACUUUUUUUCCUUCGGAUUCUGAAAAGACUGAAAAGAACGUAACACGUGAUGAGGAACCUUCAAAGCAAAACUCACAAAAAGUUCCCAAAACAUCCACAAACUGCUUGAGGAAAAAGUCACCGGAGCCGCCGAAUGUUACAGGGACCAUGUAAUUAAUACUCAUUGGUCUAACACAAUAAUUCCGUGUGUUCUUGGUUCGAGCUUAGUUCAGAAGGAGCUUCAGACCUCAAAGAGCGCAGAGACGUUUUGUUGAGCUUUAAUAACUUUGUCUCGUUGUCUCUCUCUGUCUCUGUCCGUCUGUCUGUCCUCCUUCGCCUAAUUGCCGCGAACUCUCUGCUCGCUUCUCUCUGUCUCUCGCAGAAAAGAAAGAAGAGAGAAGCUUAUGUUUGUAUCUGGCUUUUAUCUAUAUUUUAAGCCACACACGAGGUGUAGGUGCGGCCUGGAGCUUGUUACACGGGCCCACGGCUGCAUAAUUCACGAGGAGGAGCGACUAAAUAAAAGAUCUCUGCCCGGACGGAGGAGCGCGCGCCACCUGCGUGCAGGUGUGUGUCUGUUUGGGCUUUUCCUCUGAUCCGCGAUCAAUACGGGUGUGUACGACACACACACUCACAUUCCUGUUGUGUCUCUCUUUACGCUGAGGAGACCCUCUCAGGGCCGUGGAUCUGCCCCUCCUCCUCCUCCUCCUCCUCCUCUUCCUCCUCUUCCUCACACUUUCCCACAAACUAAUCGAGUAGUUUCCUCUGAAGGUUGAGACUCAUUCUGAAGAGGCUGGAAAGUCGCACAUGUUGCUGCACAAAAUGCACAAAACAAAAUUAGAAGUAACUUUUACGAUCCGCUGCUGGGUUUUUUUUUUCACCUGUUCAGUGUUUCCGGUUUUAUUCUGGUACCGACCCCCUGAUUGACCUCCUCUGAUUGUCGUCUCCAGUCCCUCAUUGUCUCCAAGCUUCCGGGUUGCGUCCUUAAACGCUCGAGGAGUCUUUAUUAGCGUCACAUCUGUCUCCUGACAGCUUUGGGCCUCUUGGCUGUGUAAUAUUUUGGAUAAUAAAUAAAUAAAUAAAACUCGUCCUGUUGCCUCCUCAUACGUCCAUCUGCGUUUUGGUCCAAACCUCUGAUUCCCCCGCGGGGCCAGUGUGACUAAUGAACCUCAUCAGCAUCAGUGUCUUCCAGUCGGUCAGAUAUGCUUCUCCAACUCCUUCUACAAUAAAAAUAAAACCUGUAUUUUAAACCUUUGAAAUGAUUGAAUCAGUAAAAAUAAACUUCUCUCUUCAACUGUAUCAGGAUUAUCUCCUUAAGGGACCAUUUCCAUCUGUUCUCUUCACAGUGGAAGCAGUUUUAUUCCAGCUUAGUGAUAACUGUCCAUACUGCAGAUCAGGGCUGAUUUUAACAGAUUAAAUAGUAAAACUGUUGGAAACUGGGCAACAGGCACGAAACUGCAUUCGGCGGAUUGCAGCUGCAAAUCGGACGGCGGAGACGAAGAUGCACGAGGGUGACUUUCUUUCUUUCUUUCUGCCAAGCCUCUCUCCUCAUCUUCUCCUCCUCGCCUCAUUUCUCUCUCCGCAGCAACAGCACACGGAAUCCUCUCAUCGUCUUUGUCUCGUCCGUCAUGUUUUUCUCCGUCCUCGUGAGACGCUCGGGAGCGAUGAAGAGCCACGUGGCUGCAGCUGCUGCAUUUCUGAAUGGGGGCUGUGGGAAGAGAGGGUAGAAGGCCGGGUCAGAAGGGACGGAGGCAGACGGAGGGGGUGGGGGGGGAGGGGGGGUGAGUUCAGGGAAGACGGCGUGUGAGACGCGUGGAGCAGCCGUGGCGUGGGAGAAGGCCUGACGCCUGACGGACGCCCGGGAGGAGGAGGCUGCGUGCGGGUUGAUCCCUCUAAAAGCCUCGGCGCUUCAGCGAGCUCAAAUUAUUGCGAGCGUACGAGGAACAAGGGCUCCGCUUCGGGGGGGGGGGGGCGAGCCACCCAGGAGACCGACUCGCCUCGGGGCGACUCUUCCAGAAGAAAGUAACAUGGGAGAAAAAUAAUAGGAGGUGGGAGUACAAGGGGAGGAGGGGUUGGAGGGGAGAAAGUGUUGAGUCGUGGGGGGUUUUCGGAGCGGUCGCUGAGGGAAGUUGAGGGCAUUUUUAUUCCCGGCUCUCACUUCUCCGAGGCCUUUCAAGCUGCUCUGCUCUCCUCACUCAGACCGGUCUCUUCUCACUCCAUCACCUCCCCCCCCUCACUCCCCGCCAUGCUCUGCUCUGCUGUUUUCUCCCGACAACGCCAUCUGGAGACAUCAGUUAACAUGGUAACAAAGCUCUUUAGGCAGACGGCUUGUUGCUUGGACGUGGCGAAGGGCUCCCUCCCUCCUCCAGGCGUCUUUUUCAUCCUCCUUACCUUCCUCUCUCUCUCUCUCCCCCUUUGUGUGUCCAUCCAUGAUUCAUCGGGCUCCACAGGCCAGUUCACCGAUGAUGAGGCCUUCGUUUGCGUCUCCAUCUUGUGUCCACCUUCUCCACCAGGCUCCUAAACCUUCUCUGAGUUCAUUUGGGACCUUUAAACCUGCCUCUGGGUAUCAGGCCAAAUGUGAAAAUUGGGCAAACUGGGGAAAAUGAUUUCACCAUUAACUCUACAUGCAUUGUAGAAACAGUCUCAUCUGUCAGGAGGAGGAAACCGUCACAAGCAUCCCGCUCAUUCCUGCUCAUUGCCUCACUGGAGAGACACGCUGGGUUGCUUUGGAAUGAAACGGACGUCAUUCUUUUUAUCGAUGGCACACGAUCGACUGGUUGAUUGCGAUCGACCUAUUGGGCUCCCCUGCAGUGGAGGAUCUUCCCUACAACUGUUGCAUCAAAGGCGGAUGCACACUAGAUUUAUUCUGCAGCACCAAGAUUUCCCUUCAUCAGACAUUAAUGGCCCCCGCGCCAAAACAGGAAAAGGCCCAAAUCUGGAGUCCGCAAAGCGGUGCGGGUCACCGCCCCGGAGCGCACACGCUCCCUCGAGAGGAAGCUUUUCCACCCGCUCACACUUUUCUGCGCUUCUCAUAAGACACGUGCACGGGCCUGUUUUUUUCAUGCGCGCGGGCCUCUAAACUAAUUAAACACUCUGGGAUUCUCGGACAAGAUAAAUGUUGCAUGGCUUCAUAAAAUGGAGAAACGGAUGCGUUCCUUCUGGUGAUUUGUCCCACGAUGGGACGUCUGGUGCUACUCGAAGCUCCGCUUCAAUCUUGCCUCUCGCGACCCUUUAUGCAGGAAUAACAUCUCUGGCUCCCCUUUCGGAGAACGGGAGAUUAAAAUCCCCUGCAACUAUAACAAAGAGCAACUUUGUUUCUCUUAAUCCCUCCUGCAGCAUCUCUUCGUGCACAUCUCAAACCACACUCGUAAAACCUUUACAUAUCCCCCAGAGCCUCGUGCCUACAGUCCCGCCUGUUAGCCCAGGACCUCACGCUGCACUCGCCCCCUGCAAGAAGCGACAACCUGCUGGAACCGCCCGGCUCCAUAAGAACGUCCUCGUUCCAAAGAGAUAAAACUCAACCCAGGACAGGAACACCCUCGCUGACACACUUACCGCUCUCGCCCACACCCUCUCUCUCUCUCUCUUAGUGAGGCCCACGGGCCACGGAGCGCCGUGACUGAUAUGCGUUCCGACAUGUCAAACGGGGAGGCGGCGGGGCGCUGCCCGUGGCAACCGGGAGGAACAUGCUAAUAGCGAGGUGCAUUAGUGCACUCACAGACGGGCCCGCUAAUCAGAGCGGACGUUUGGCCCGUUAUGACUCUCCGGCGGCGAGAGUGGCUCCUCCAUCACUCUCGGCGUGUGCACCGUCACCAGCUGCAACUCUUCCGCAGUACGUCGGCCGCCUCCACCUUCGAGCCUGGCCGUGCAAACCCGCAAGAGCUGCCGUCGACCAUUCAAAGGAAAGCUGUGAUUAGGAGUGUCUGGAUGGAAAAAGAUACGUGGGCGUUAAUGUUUUUAGUCCUGACAUGUCGUUGCUUCAUCGAAUAAUUACAGAUCAACUAUUUACACACCCUCCAGACACAAGGUGACCAUUUUUAUAUCACAACCGUGUUCUUUAACAUUGUAAAACCAGCGCUAUCUCACCGUGUGGAUCUCUGAACCUCUGAAUGUCUUAUGAAAUAGAAAAAUGUCUCCUCUAAAUGAGCAAAACUGAACUCAUGCUGAAAUCUUUUAAAUGGAUAUUUUUGCAUCGAGCCCCUCCCCCCGCACUCAAUUCCAUUAGAUGACCACCAUGCAUGUGCCAGCAUAUUGCGCUAAUAAAAGCCAUUAAUAUUAAAUAUACUAUAAUAUACACAUCCUACAUACUUAAUGUUGCCUCCGUCCCUGUCAAUGUACAGUUGAUGUCUUAGACAGAAUAUUAAAACCGACACCACAAGCAUGAUAGUGAUCAGUGAAGAGAGAAAUAUUAUUAUGACUAACUAAGACGGUCAAUCGGGUUUGGACAUCUUAGUUACUUUUAUGUGUUUGUGACAUAGUUUUGAAGCCUCAACAUUCUCAUUUAGGCCGCUGCAACCUUGUUUUUUCUUUUUUUGGACGUCUCAUCUUUUGCCGUCUUGGUCUUGCUCAUUCUAAGGGAAUGAAAACACAGUGUGUUUUUUUGCUCCGCCCUAAAGCAUUCCCUGCGUCAUGCUCCUUUUUGACUCUACAUACACCAUUUACUAAAUGAACCUCAUGCUGUAUUCAAGAAGACUUGAAAAGCACAGAUCC
ensembl:lncRNA